AUGUAUGCAUAUAUAUGUGUAUAUAUAUAUAUAUAUAUAUUUACCUGACUGGAGCAAAGGAAAUGACUUCUGACUCUUCUAAGCAUGAGACCCAAGCGUGAGUUGGGCAUUGAAUAGAUGUAUCACUCCAUGUGUAAGAUACUAAGUCCUUAAAAUAAACAAAGCAGCCAGUAAAUGAUUGAUUCUAGAAGUAUUAAUCCUUUGAAGUGCUGGAGUGCCCAGUUUUGUCCAUCUGAAGUUUCACUGGAAACUUCAGGUGUAAAAAUACAAUAAAAACUGAAAAGAAACCCUGAUCAAGGGCAGCACAUCUGUGGUUUCAGUGCUUGAGCUGAGGCAGAACUGCAUGGAAGACAGUAGGUUUCAACACAAAUGUAACAAGCUGUAUUCGUGUCACAUAUAGCUGAGUUAGAGCUCAAGGUGCUAUCAGUUUAUUUGUCUCACUCAUUGCUAGCCAGACUCUGUAUUGCUUCCAAGGUGUGAAGCCUGGGACAAAUUUACACUGCGUAAUAAAUAUACCUCCCUGCACUAUCGGUGAAUCAACUAGAAACCUCGCCAGGAAGAAAAGAUCACAUGAGGUUGAGGGCUGGGACUAGAAUUGAUGCUCUUGAAAAGUUGCGUUAACUCAUUGGGAUGUUCAUCCUGACCUCAGUGGCAAGGUUAUGGAGCCAGCUCACAGGAUGGAAAAACUCACUGCCUCAGCUCAACGAGAUGUUAACAAGAAUAAAUUAUAUUUGCACAUAAAGUGCUGUAUCCUAGGCAGAAAUGUUAUGUUCUAUGUACAAAUCUUUUAAAUAAAUACACAUUUUAGACCGGCAGAAUGAUAACAUCUUUAUUUGUUCACUGGGAUUUCAGAAACUGUUGUUUUUUUAGAUUCUCAGACACUGUAGGUGGCAUUCAUCAAUGCACAGUGAUGAAUACAGCUUAGAAAGGGAGAGUAUCUCUCCUCACACUAAAACUACUUGUUGCUUUGAUUCUUUUCACUAUGCUGUUCAAUGCGUGGAGGUAAGGUAUUGAGCAUAACCAAGGCAAUGAUUUCCAGGCACAGCUCUACAGUGUACUGAGGUUCUGAACUGUGAUUUUUGUCUCUUUCUUCCAUGAGAUUGAGUAAAAUAUCUAAAGUACCUUUGUAGAUGUGGCUCAAAUUGUAGGAGUUAGAAGGGUUCAUUCACAUUUAAAAGCAUACAGAUCUAAGUGAAGAGCUGAGUUAAUAAAAGGUACUGUUGGGUUGCAGUAUCUCACUGUCCAUGUAGCCCUUUGCAUUUUGUCCCUUUCUGGCUUUUUUUGCCAUCUAGAACUCUUGGAGCAAUCUGGAUGCUGCAAACUUUAUAUUGCAAAGGACUAAGGAUGCAGUGAAGAAGGAAAACUCACUCUUAUUCUCUUAUGUGUGCCAUCAUUUUUGAAAACACUUGGACAGUCUGACAUGAGCUGAGUUUCAAGCUAUGGACUCCUAGCCAUCUCUGGUGUAGGGCUCUCAUUACAAUUCUGAGCAUGUCUCUUGAAUUUACAAAGGAAAAGUAUUCUUCAAGAGCAAAAAUUUCUUGACUCUUUCGUAAUGAGAAGGAAGGUGCAAAAAUGGCUGUAUCACCUUAUCUCACCCAGACCCCAGGCUAGCAUUUUCUUUUGUCUUUUUUUUUGCUCAUAGUCCUUACUUACAAGGCCUUAUAGGCAUUAUUGUCUCAAGCCAUUAUUUCAAUUAAAAUAUUUUAACUGAAUUAUGAUCAUGAGUGACAGAGGUAAAGGUGACCAGUGCCAAGUUCAAUCUCUCAGCAGCAGAGAAGUAAUCGGAUUUUGUUCAUUAGAGAGGUCAACACAAACAAAAACAGUGCUAUUAAAUUGCUGUUUCUAACACAAUAAUGCAAUAAAGAAACCGUGGAAGAUUUCAAGGAGAAAGCUCACAGGUGCCAAAUGGCUGCUCAGCUACAGGUAGGAGAAUGUCUUUCCUCUGGUUCUGCUCCCCAUCCCUUCUUUUGCUUCAGCAUUGCAGUGAUACGCUGUGUCGUGCUCUUGGCACUGAACUUACAGGUUUUUUUUUUUUGUGACAACUCUGAAAAGGAGGUCAGAGUGCUGAGCAUAAGCAUGGAGGCUUUUUAUUUGAAUUUCAGAGUAACUAUGUCUAAACAACAGCAAAUGGAAUUUUUCCUUUAACUGAACUAAUUUUUAGGUGCUAGGAACUUACACAGAGGGUUUUCUUGGUUGAAGGAGUGUUUCUCUGCAUCCUCCUAGAUUUGCCUUAGCUGGUUAGGGUAUAUUCAUCUUUGUUUCUUCCUGUUGCUCUCUAACAUAGUGAUUGUGUUAGCCGUGAGCAAAGAGGUUCUCCUUGGAAUGUCUUCUGCAGUGUAUGUUGAUAGAUGGUUGUAUUUUGUUUACUGGGUACAAUGCAGCGGUUCUUGCCAAACUUAUUUAUUUGCAGUGUGUGUUUUGUAUGUAUUCCUCAGACAUACAACAGGAGAUACAGUAGGUAAGAGUUACUGUGUGAAGACAUCCGAUAGCAACUGUGUUUGCCAUGUGACCCCACAGCAAUGGUACUACCUUCUGUAAAUGUGGAGAUUUUUGGCAGAUUUGCUGUUUUUUUUGUUUGUUUGUUUGUUUGUUUGUUUGUUUUUUUCUGAACAUUGCAGCUAGAAUCUUAGAAUCAUUCAAGUUGGAAAAGACCCAGAAGAUCAAGUCUGACCAUCAACCUGACAAUACCAAGCUUACCACUAAACCAUGUCCCUCAGUGCCACACCUACAUUGUUCUUCAACACCUCCAGGGACGGUGAUUCCACCACCUCCCCGGGCAGCCUGUGCCACUGCCCCACCACCCUUCCUAUGAAGAAGUUCUUCCUGAUGUCCAGUCUAAAUCUCCCCUGGCAGAAUCUGAUGGUGUUUCCUCACCUCCUAUCACUGCUACUAGCUACUUCAGGUUUUGUGAUUAUGUGAGACUUCUAUUUUCAUUAAGAAAAGAAGUUAAAUUUCUGGCCCUUCUAGUCAGUUGCUUGUCUCUUCCAGAGGUCAUACAGUCAUAGUCCCAUCACCAAACCAUGUUCCUUAGUGCCACAUCCACACAUCUCUUAAAUACCUCCAGAGAUUGUAGCCUGCCUGUUCAGCCAUUUGUAUGCAGCUCUAUGUGUAUGGCACAUAUUACAAAUAUUACAACUCCCCUGCACCUUUGGUGCCAAAACAAACAAAUAGAUAGAGAAGUAUCAGUGAAUUUCAUGACUGCAAGGAAAUCCAGUUGUGAGAUCUGUAGAACCAAUCUCUUCUUGAAAGCUGCUUGGAGAUUGAUCCAGGCCGUGUUUGCACACCACGACUGUUUUCUGUAUUCUCUUCUUCCUUGGCAUCUUUAAAUAUCUGUGAGAGUAGUCAAGGCUGCUGACCCAGCCAGAUGUUUUUAUAAUAUGAUUUUCUCGAUAAGGAAGUAUGGAAGGACCUUGAUACCAGUAUCAUCAAUGGUUUUCUCUACUCACCAGCACUUACAUGAAAACCUAAGAUAAAUUAAGUUCAUGAAGCUGGAAGUAAAGCAGGACAAUAUGAUCUUUUAAUGGAAAUACCUACUGCUUUAUUUAUUCAUUUUCCAGAAAAUGCCCAAGUCCUUUAAAACAAGGUGUACAUUGUAAUAAAUAAAAAGGUGAGGUUUGUUAAUCAAAUCGAAACUCAAGGGUUGCUUUGUAAAAGCCCCCCCUUGUCGGGACAUCCAGUAACCUAAACAGUGUUGCAACCAUGGGAAUCAGAAAACCACGACCUUGCUAAUGGCACCUGGUUCAAGUACGUGAGCGGCUGAAAGCAGUGAAGAUAACUACGAACCUGCAUCCCAGUGACCACCAGAAGGCAGAUCCCGGCCCUCCCCGCAGCAACAGCCCGCGCAGACUCAGAAGAAAGGCAGAGUACCCCGAAAGGGCCAAGUAUACAGAAGAUAAGGACUGCAUAAAAAAAAAAGGGCUCAAACCCCGUUUAGAUUGCGAGCCGUUGGCGGAGCACUGACUCCCCGGCCACGCAGCACUGUUUUGCUCACUUUGCCGCUUGCUUAGUUGAAUAAACUCUCUCUUGCUGUGUUGAAAAUUGA